rnacentral:piRNA from 1 species
UGAAUAUUCGAAGACGGUGGCUGAU